GCAUUGGUAUAUGGCGGCAACUCUAUCACAUUUUGCUCAUCUCGACAGUAUCUUAUCCAUAGACAUUUUUUUUUAAAUCGAUGAGUUAAGAUCGCUUAGUGGCGGGAUCUUGGGCCAAAACAAGAACAAAUUUAGCCUCAGCCUCAAAGAACUUGCUGGUCUAGACUAAACCGAAAAAAAAAACUUAAAAACGAAAACUCACCUUUUGGGCUGCUUGGAAUAAAAUCUAAAGUUCUAUCCUUGCAUCUUAAAUCUUGACCAGUGCCAUCAAUCCAAACGUAUGUGGCUUGAACGAUAUUCUCUUUAACUGGCAAAUCGAUGUAACGUUGCAAGAUGCUUUUGUCAAUGUGAGCAUUUGGUGAU